CAGCAGCCACGGUAAUACGAAGGGGGCUAGCGUUGCUCGGAAUGACUGGGCGUAAAGGGCGCGUAGGCGGCGGCCAAAGUCAGGCGUGAAAUUCCCGGGCUCAACCUGGGGGCUGCGUUUGAUACUUGGUUGCUUGAGUGGGGAAGAGGGUCGUGGAAUUCCCAGUGUAGAGGUGAAAUUCGUAGAUAUUGGGAAGAACACCGGUGGCGAAGGCGGCGACCUGGUCCUUGACUGACGCUGAGGCGCGAAAGCGUGGGGAGCAAACAGGAUUAGAGACCCGCGUAGUCCCUGUCUCUUAUAC
rnacentral:rRNA from 1 species